GACGGACGGUGCAAGCGUUGCUCGGAAUCACUGGGCGUAAAGGGUGCGUAGGCGGCUUGGUAAGUUGGGUGUGAAAGCCCCGGGCUCAGCCCGGGAAGGGCACUCGAAACUGCCGAGCUGGAGUGCCGGAGGGGAGAGUGGAAUUCCUGGUGUAGCGGUGAAAUGCGUAGAUAUCAGGAGGAAUACCGGUGGCGAAAGCGACUCUCUGGACGGCAACUGACGCUGAGGCACGAAAGCGUGGGGAGCAAACAGG
rnacentral:rRNA from 1 species